UGUAGAAAGAGCUGCAGUUGAAAUACAAUGUUUAAUCAUAUUGGAUAAGAACCUUUCUGAAUACAAGAUUUGCAAAGAGCUGUAAUCAAAAGCACAAGCUUUAAUCAGACUAAAUGAAUUUGUCCUGCGUCCUACCGUAGCCUAGUGUUUAGCUCUUUUUCUUCUCUCCGUCUUGUUGUUGUUGUUUGGAGUAGACAUCGGGAUUGUCGAAAAAUUUGUCAACCAAGAACUAGGGAAGAUGAGCGAGAAAGGAGGAAAAAAAGAACAGGAACAGAUUGUAUUGUUCUGAAAGUACAAACGGUGAAGAGAUGGAAACAGCAGGAAGGAAGAGUGCCGAAGAGAGUGUGAGAACGUACUUCACUGAAUACCCGAAUCGAGAAGAUGGGUGCACAGACGUUCUCCAAUAUGGAGCAUGAUCUCCAAUCAUAUGGUGCUUCCGGAGAUGGCCAGGGGUCAGCGUGGACACUCUGACAGCAGCUCCGUAGCCUCAUAGACAGCAAGCCGUGAUGCGCUGUGUGUUCUGAGACGUUUCUAUCAGAGCCGGCAUGAACUUUUUCAGCAAGUUGUGCUACAGUAGCUCUUCUCUGGGAUCGGACCGGACGGAUCAGCCUUCGCUCCCAACGGCAUCGAUGAGGCUCGGGUGGCCAUGACCCGGACGCUUGGAAAAUAUUAAGUCAUUUCAAGAGAUCAUUUGAUUUGAGCAUACGCUUACUCAUGGUCAGGGUUAUGGUGGAUCCGGACCUCACGGCAAGAAUACACCUUGGAUGCUACACCAGGUCAUUACACACACACACACACACACACACACACACACACACACUUCACACCUAGCGCCCAAUCCGCUUAACAGUUUAUUUGUUGGAGGUGGGAGCUCAUACUAUCUGAGCUGAGCGAAACUCCCCACUGUACCCCAGCGUGUCUCUUCUAUCUCUCGCUGCAUCACUUUAUUGUUCUGUUUGGAAAUUCUGUACUGUACAUCCGAUGUAGAAGUUCUUAUAGAUUUUGAAGUUCAAUUCCCAGUUAACCCUGCGA
ensembl:lncRNA